rnacentral:rRNA from 1 species
GUGUCAGCAGCCGCGGUAAUACGUACGAGGCGAGCGUUAUCCGGAAUUACUGGGCGUAAAGCGCGCGCAGGUGGAUGGUUAAGUCAGCCGUGAAAUCUCCCGGCCUAACUGGGAGGGGUCGGAUGAUACUGGCCGUCUUGAGGACUGCAGAGGUGGGUGGAAUUCCUGGUGUAGUGGUGAAAUGCGUAGAGAUCAGGAGGAACACCGGUGGCGAAGGCGGCCCACUGGGCAGUCACUGACGCUGAGGCGCGAAAGCUCGGGGAGCGAACGGGAUUAGAUACCCCGGUAGUCC